rnacentral:rRNA from 1 species
UACGUAGGGUGCAAGCGUUGUCCGGAAUUAUUGGGCGUAAAGAGCUCGUAGGUGGCGGGUCACGUCGGGUGUGAAAGCCCGGGGCUUAACCCCGGGUCUGCAUUCGAUACGGGUCUGCUGGGGUCCGGCAGGGGAGACUGGAAUUCCUGGUGUAGCGGUGAAAUGCGCAGAUAUCAGGAGGAACACCGAUGGCGAAGGCAGGUCUCUGGGCUGUAACUGACGCUGAGGAGCGAAAGCAUGGGGAGCGAACAGG